GUUAGCCUGGUAUCAUGCAGGCUUUUAUACUUGCACGACUGCACAUGGUGUUCCUUUCAGCAGCAUUCAGAAUCACAGUGGGAAAGCUGAAUAACGUCCUCACAGGAUAACAGGAUCUUCUUGUCAAUGACAUUCUUGCCUUGGCCAAAUUGGUCGACAAAAGCUCCUGAAGGAGAUAGCCUGAGGGGAAAUCCCAUACCUGUGAGGGCAUUUCAGUCUUCUCAUCCUGACCCAUCUCCAGCAUCUGUCAUCUCCUGGGAUUGAGAGCUGGUCGGGGAAAUAGGAAAUGAGAUGGACUAAAUGCUAACUAUGAAGAACACAAAGGCAAAAUAACAACUGGAGUAAUGAGAGAAGGCUGGUACUGGCUGGACAAAGAAACUGAAAUGAGGAAGCCUUUGGGACCAUGGGUAAUUAGGGUCUCAGAGGCAGACUAGGGAAAGGGUACAGUUGUGAGACAGGGCUUGGCAUUUGUUUGCUGAAAAGAUGAAGGACAAGGAUUUGUGGCAUAAUGUGGGGAGGUGGUUGCUUGGCAACCUUAAUUCAGUCCCCUUAUGAUACAUGUGUGAUCACAUAUUGUUUUUAUGCAGGAUUUCUGGCUCAAGUGUUGUGCAGGAUGGACCUGCUCAGGGGACACAGUAGGGCUGUGCAAGAAAGGCAGGUGAUGCCUGUAUGACUCCUGACUCAUUUAUUGCUUGAACUGAAAAGUAGUUAAUGAAUGAAGAAGGGUAAAGGAAGGCCAUGUGACCUAAUUGUGCACUGUUGCACAGGACUUUUCCUGUCUAUUGCUAAUAUAGCCCCUUAAAACAGUUUGGUGUUCUAUUUAUUUAUUUAUUUAUCAAUCUCUGUAUGUGGAACCUCCCAUAGUCUAAUAGCUUCUAAUUAUCUAAUUUUAAUGACCAUAGUUAGAGUCUCAAAUCCAAUUUGCUCAACACUCACACCUGUGACUGGUGCUGCAACUUCUGUGUUUGAAAUAUUGUUAAAUACUUUCAAAUUACAUCUUUGAUGCAUCAGAUAGGACAUGUAAAAUUAGUGAAUACCUUCUUCCUUAGUCUUUCUCUGCCUCUUCUUCCUUUAUUUUAGACAGCAAUGCUUCCUUUUCUUUGCCACCAUGUAUUUUUAUGAAGCUAAAUUAAUUUGCAUUUCUGCAGCACUCAGAUGUUGAAGUGAUGAGCACCAUUGAGAAGCCCUGGAGGAAAUUAAUAAUUCUUCCAUCAUAACACAAUUGAAUAAUGGGCAGUAAACAAAGCAUGGGCCACACAAUGAGUUAUGAGGUAAAAGCAAAAUAUUGAUUAGCUGUUUGUUGAAUGAAGCAGUGGUCCUGUGAAAAAAUAGUGAUUAAAGAUUGUGUCAAAACA